rnacentral:rRNA from 1 species
CCUACGGGUGGCAGCAGUCGAGAAUCAUUCACAAUGGGGGAAACCCUGAUGGUGCGACGCCGCGUGGGGGAAUGAAGGUCUUCGGAUUGUAAACCCCUGUCAUGUGGGAGCAAAUUAAAAAGAUAGUACCACAAGAGGAAGGUACGGCUAACUCUGUGCCAGCAGCCGCGGUAAUACAGAGGUCUCAAACGUUGUUCGGAAUCACUGGGGGUAAAGGGUGCGUAGGCUGUUUCGUAAGUCGUGUGUGAAAGGCGCGGGCUCAACCCGCGGACGGCACAUGAUACUGCGAGACUAGAGUAAUGGAGAGGGAAACGGAAGUCUCGGUGUAGCAGUGAAAUGCGUAGAUAUCGAGAGGAACACUCGUGGCGAAGGCGGGUUCCUGGACAUUAACUGACGCUGAGGCACGAAGGCCAGGGGAGCGAAAGGGAUUAGAUACCCGUGUAGUC